CAAAUUACCAUUUAAAUGUGAAUAGCGAUCCAUUUAAUCCAUUUUUCCUUCAUCAGUAGUUUCCUCAGUCAUGGUCUUGGUCAGGUGACCCGUGCCAGUGAUUUCAGCAGUAACAAACAGCGUUUAAGGCUCGGCCUUUGAAUGGAGCAUCUUUCCAGCCAGAAUCAGAAGAGUGAUUAAGAGGCAGGAUGAAAAGGUCCCCUAGAGUGGGGCACUUGGCCCUAAUCCUAUUGGCUGUAGUUAGAGCUGGGCUCAAGGAUAAGUGUCCCUCCCACUGCUGCACAACGGAUGUAAAGUAUGUACACGGUAAAGUAUGCAGGUCUGCGGGGGAUUGUGGGAAAGAGGACCCAGAUCAACACGCCAUUAAGCAAGCCCUAUACAUAAUAAUAUUAUAAAUUAUAAUAAUUUAUAUAUAGUGUGUAUAUACACACACACACACACACACAGUAUAUGGAGAAAAUGAUGAGGACAUCUGGUCAUUACACCUACAGGAACUUCCCAUUCUAAAUCCAUAGACAUCAAUAUAGACCUGGUCCCCCCUUUGCAGCUAUAACAGCUGCCACUCUUCUAUGAAGGCUAUCUACCAGAUUUUGGGCAGUGUCUGUGGGAAUUUUUGCACAUUCAGCCAGAAGAGUAUUUGUGAAAUCAGGCACUGAUGUUGGACAUGAAUGCCUGACUCGCAAUCUCUGUUGUAGUUCAUCCCAAAGGUGUUUGAUGGGGUUGAGGUCAGGGUUCUGUGUUGGCCAGUCAAGUUCUUCCGCACCAAACUAACCUAACUAUGUCUUUACCUUGCUUUGUGUACAGGGGCACAGUCUUGUUGGCACAGAAAAGUGCCUUCCCCAGACUGUUCCCAAAGUUUGAAGCAUAGAAUUGUCUAAAAUGUCUUGGUAUGCUGAAGCAUUAAGAGUUCCCUUUACUGGAACUAAGGGUCCUACCCCAAUCUCUGAAAAUCUUAUAGCAUCAUCCCUCCUUUACCAAACUAUACAGCUGGCACAAUGCUGUCAGGCAGGUAACAUCCUCCUAGCAAUAAUCAUCCACAUCAGUCAGAAAUAACUGAAGCAUGUGUCACCCAGUCUGUCCAAACCUGAAACUUAACAGGAAACAUUUACAGAAAGUAGCUGUGUGAGUGUGUGCCUGGGCAAGUAUGUCCAGCAGGGGCACUAUGUACCUGUUCAGGUAGCAUAUGGGUUCCCAUGACAACCCCAGUCCACCAGUAGAGCAUGUCAUGAUGCCAAGUGAGAGGGGGAAGGUGGGGCUCCCGAUCUGUAAACUCAGAGCCCCCUUUUGAUAGGUUGGAGGUAGGUAACACCCAGCCCACUCGGCAAACUUUAACAUCAGCACCCCCCCCCCACCCCAGCAAAUUUAAUCUGCCCCUGGCAAAGGGCCGUGAGGGACCGGCACCAAGUAUUGGUAUCGGGAUAGAAACAUUUCAUUUGCAUCAGAUUGUAUCGGGGACUUACGUCUGUUUUAAGCUGAAAGCCUGCAUUUAAACCCACUCUGAGAAGGCUAGGUCUGCAGUGUAAAUGACCUGGGUAAUAUACUCUAUGCAGAACUGAGCUAUGAUCCACAGCAUGGGAAAUUUGUAAGUAAAGUCAGCAAACCCACUUUGCAGUAUAACGCUCAGGACCAUUAAUGUUAAUGAAGAGGAAGAGAGAUCAAAGAGAAGGAAAGCUAGACACCAGGCUACCAGGCUCAGGACAAUGAUGUACAGGGAAAUAAUCAAACAUGCAUUAAGUAACAUCAUUUAACAUAGCACAAGGCAAACAGACACACACAUACACAAUAAAUUUACCAUGUGAAUUAUCCUAAUAACCGUGGGAAAAUUAUUUUUCUAUUUUCUUGCUGCCAUCUCCUGGCCGAAUGUAAGUAUUGCAAUUACCAGAAAAGAUCAUUUAAAUUUUUUUAAAUGACAGUACUCGAUUUUGGCCUACCAGACGGCAGCAUGAAACGUGGAAAAAAAUAUUUCCCCACGGUCAAAUCAAAUAAUUUUUAAACAAAGACAUAUUUUCACGAUGUACAAUGAACUAAUAAAACAUACAUUUAAUUAUUCUAAUAUAUUUGUUUUACAUGGUACAAGUCUGUUUUUAUUUACCAUAUAAAACCAUUAUACUGUGAGAAAGUAUGUUUCUAUUUUCUUGCUGUCAUCUCGUGGUCAAGCUAAAGUUUUGCAAUGAGGGAAAAAAUAAUUAAAAUGUUUUGAAAUGAAAAAUUCAUACAAAUUCAUAAGAUGACAGGCAGACUACAGUCACUCAGUGUCUCCACCCUCCGUUACUGCUUUUCCGCUACAGGGUGUCGGGGAGCCUGUAACUGGGAACUGUGUAUGUUUGCACUGAAACUGGGCACUGUGUGUGUGUAUGUAUGUGCGCUGUAACAGGGCACUGUAACAAACACUGGUUUGUUACCAGAUGUCUGCAAUUAUACUCCUGUCCUCUAAGGGUCAGUAUAAUUUCCUAGAGGACUAUAAGGAGCAAGAGCCUAUAUAAGGGCAAGGGCGGCCAUGUUUGUUGAGACGCAGAAUAAAGUAAGUAAGUCCUUGUUUGAGGAAGGGGAAGUGUUCAUGGCUCAAUAAAGGACUUUUUUUUUCCCCUGAUUUACUUGCAACUGCCAACCUUCUCUUUCCGGCUUCACAUCCUACCAUUGUUUGGACCAUCCUCACCUGGAAGAGGACGUUUGGUCUCCACUUUGGACUGUGCUAUUCAUUUCAGUUGUAUGGUUAUCCAUCUCAACACCAGUUUUCUUGAGUUAUUGUUAAUUCAUUAUUUACAUGUACAUUUGCUGGGGUAAUAUGCUCACCUUUGUUAGUAAAUAUUUUUUGGUCUGUGAA